CUCAGCUCACCCCCUGCAUGCCGGCGGUGCCGGGGGCGCUGUGGAGCGGGGCACGGGGCCGCCCGCCAUGGCCGAAGCAGGAGCGGGAAGCGCCGAGGGCGCCGAGGAGGAGCGGCGGGCGGCGGAAGGUGGGAGCGGGUCCGCCCCAGGAGCGGGCGAUAAAUUCUCCGUGGAUGGGAGCCCCUGCAUUCCCUGUGGAGUGCCCAGCCUCAUGAAUCCAGUCACUAAACCUGCCACCGCCACGUCUUUCAAUGCUGCUGUGCCUGACAUUCCAAGGAAACGCAAGGGAAGUGAUUCUGAUAACCAGGAUGUUUCUGCAGUUGAAGUUGAUGGUGAUCUUCAGAAAAGGAGUGAAGAUGAAGAACAUGUUAAAGUAAAAGAUUUCAGAGAGGCUCACAGUCAAACAGAAAAAAGAAGAAGAGACAAAAUGAAUAAUUUGAUAGAGGAAUUGUCUGCCAUGAUACCACAGUGCAAUCCCAUGGCCCGAAAGCUAGACAAACUCACAGUGCUACGGAUGGCUGUGCAGCACCUGAAGUCUUUAAAAGGUUCCAGUAGCUCCUACUCAGAAGUCCGGUAUAAACCUUCAUUUUUGAAGGAUGAUGAACUGCGACAGUUAAUCCUUAGGGCUGCAGAUGGAUUCCUGUUUGUGGUUGGAUGCAACAGAGGAAAAAUUCUGUUUGUCUCUGAAUCAGUUUGCAAAAUACUUAAUUAUGAUCAGGCCAGUUUAAUUGGACAAAGUUUAUUUGAUUACUUACAUCCAAAAGAUGUUGCAAAAGUUAAGGAACAACUUUCUUCAUCAGACGUCUCGCCUAGGGAGAAGCUCGUAGAUGGCAAAACUGGCUUGCAAGUACACACAGAUUUCCAAGCUGGACCAGCUCGGCUGAACUCUGGUGCUCGACGUUCCUUCUUCUGUCGGAUAAAGUGUAGCAGGACCACAGUCAAAGAGGAGAAGGAGUGUUUGCCCAACCCAAAGAAGAAAGAUCACAGAAAAUACUGCACCAUUCACUGUACUGGGUAUUUGAAGAACUGGCCUCCUAAUGAGGUGGGAGUAGAAGAGGAAAAUGAUGUAGAAAAGGACAGUAGUAACUUUAACUGUCUUGUUGCAAUUGGGAGGUUACACCCUUAUAUUGUUCCACAAAAGAGUGGAGAGAUAAAAGUCAAAGCAACAGAAUUUGUUACACGAUUUGCCAUGGAUGGAAAAUUUGUUUAUGUAGAUCAGCGCGCAACAGCAAUUUUAGGGUAUCUGCCACAAGAGCUUCUAGGAACUUCUUGUUAUGAGUACUGCCAUCAAGAUGAUCACAAUCACCUAGCUGAAAAACACAAAGAAGUGUUACAGAAUAAAGAAAAAGUAUUUACAAAUUCCUACAAAUUUAGAGCAAAAGAUGGGACUUUCGUUACUUUAAAGAGUCAGUGGUUUAGUUUCAUGAAUCCUUGGACCAAAGAGCUGGAGUACAUUGUAUCAAACAACACUGUGGUAUUAGGUCAUAAGGAAUCAGCUGAAGAAGAGGUCCUCUACAGUUCUCAACCUGCAGAAGAUGCUGUAAAACAGUCUUUAGUAAGUGUGCCUGGAAUGUCCUCUGGAACAAUUCUUGGUGCUGGCAGUAUAGGAACCGAAAUUGCAAACGAAAUAUUAGAAUUACAAAGGUUGCAUUCUUCACCCUCUGGAGAGUUAAGUCCGUCACAUCUCCUCAGAAAGUCACCUUCUCCAGCUUUAACUAUAAACUGCAGCGAUGUGCCAAAUAAAGAGUUGGUUCAGUUAUGUCCUUCAGAAACAGAAGUUCUAGAGAAUUCAGAACAAACCCAGGGUGCUAUUCCAUUUCCCAGUAAUGAACCUCUCCUCAGUGGCAAUUCUCAGCUGGACUUCGAUGCCAUCUGUGAGAACGAUGACACUGCAAUGACAGCUCUGAUGAAUUACCUGGAGGCUGACGGAGGCCUGGGAGACCCAGCUGACCUCAGUGAUAUCCAGUGGGCCCUCUAGAGCUGCUUCUGGGAGUAAGGAAUGUCAAAAACCCCUCAUGCACAACAACCCUACAUCCUCAGUACUGUACUGGAGUUUUGUAAUGGUUCCUUUGAAUUCAGACUUGCUGUCUCUGGAUUUUUAAAGACUGAAGCCUUGUUCAGAGUGAGAGACAUCUUCUGCUGCACCUAUGGACAAAUGCAAUAUUUUUUUGUGAUGAGGAAAUCUUGAAAUUUUAAUAUUGAAACAUCUGUAACUGGAAUGCUUAGAACACAUAAGUAUAUUUUUGCUAAGAAGCUUUAACCAAAAGGUGAGCAUGGCAGCCUGGGCUGGUGUUUUUAGGAAGGCUGGAGUUGGGAACAGAUGGAUAUGACCGUCACUAGAUGUCAUCCUUGUGCUGCUGGGGAGCCCCCCUGUCCUCAUGAGAACACGAUCUGGACAUGAAGUGGCUUCCUAUGCUUGGCAGAGCAGCUCUGUGUCUUAUAGAGAAUAUGACUCCUUUUGCAAACAAUGCGUUUUUAGUGAUGGGGAUUUGCUAGAAUGGCUUCUUGGAUUGAUUUUUUUUUUUUUUUUAACUCUAUAGACUUUUUUUUUUUAAUUAAAUUUGGAGGUAAUUUCCUGCAUUCAGAUCUCUUUUUUACUGACAUGGGGCCAAAAUCAUCAGUUCUCUUGUUUUAUUAGAAUAAACUUUUCUGCCUUUUCUGAAUUUUGGGCUAUAUCAUGGAGCAAAGUAGGAGAAAUAAACAGGCACUUUCUAAGAACUGAUAGAAAUCUAUUUGUGUAAAAGAAAUUUGAGAAUUUGAGAUUGUGCCAUUGUAAAAUGCAUUUUCUCUUUUCUAUUCUAGAAAUAAAUUCUAAAUAAACCAGCAAAUACUGUAGCUCAUAGAUAAAUGACUACAUACAUAACUUAAAAUUAUACAGAUCUUAUUAGAACAGUUUUUUUUAACUGGAUUAGUUUGGAAAUGGGGCAGCUGUUGUUAUUGCAGGAGCAGAUUAAUUCUUUCACAAGAUUUAUGUGUCUAGACUCAAGCCACUAUUUUUGGAUCCUUGGCUAUCCCUAAAAAAUAAAACCAAAAAAUGUAACUUUGAUUCUUUUGCAGUCAAUGACAAAUAUUGUGACUUUCAAUUCAUUUAGUAGAUUCUCCCUUUACUAUUUGUAAGGUUUUUUUCUGGCUUAAACCAGCUUUUUCAAGAAAAAGUGUCACUUGUAAAUAUUUCUGGUGAAACCAAUAGAUAUUUUUGAAUACAAUUGAGAUAGUAUGUGCUUAUCUUUGUAUAACAACACAAUUCUAUUAAGAUACUGAAGUUUGUUCCUGGCAUGGUGCAGAUAAUGGUAGGAUGUGGUUCAAUCAGGUCAAUAAAUACUAUUUUGAUGCCC